rnacentral:misc_RNA from 1 species
GAUGAAGAACGCAGCGAAAUGCGAUAAGUAAUGUGAAUUGCAGAAUUCAGUGAAUCAUCGAGUCUUUGAACGCACAUUGCGGCCAUAGGUAUUCCUUUGGCCAUGCCUGUUCGAGCGUCAUUUACACCCUCAAGCCUAGCUUGGUGUUGGGCGUCUGUCCCGCCGUUCUCGCGCGCGGACUCGCCUCAAAGUCAUUGGCGGCGGUCGUGCCGGCCCCCUCGCGCAGCACAUUUGCGCUUCUCGGAGGCCCGGCGGAUCCGCGCUCCAGCAAGACCUUUCACGACUUGACCUCGGAUCAGGUAGGGAUACCCGCUGAACUUAAGCAUAUCAAUAAGCGGAGGA